rnacentral:rRNA from 1 species
AGUGAACGCUGGCGGUAGGCCUAACACAUGCAAGUCGAACGGCAGCACAGUAAGAGCUUGCUCUUACGGGUGGCGAGUGGCGGACGGGUGAGGAAUACAUCGGAAUCUACUUUUUCGUGGGGGAUAACGUAGGGAAACUUACGCUAAUACCGCAUACGACCUACGGGUGAAAGCAGGGGAUCUUCGGACCUUGCGCGAUUGAAUGAGCCGAUGUCGGAUUAGCUAGUUGGCGGGGUAAAGGCCCACCAAGGCGACGAUCUGUAGCUGGUCUGAGAGGAUGAUCAGCCACACUGGAACUGAGACACGGUCCAGACUCCUACGGGAGGCAGCAGUGGGGAAUAUUGGACAAUGGGCGCAAGCCUGAUCCAGCCAUACCGCGUGGGUGAAGAAGGCCUUCGGGUUGUAAAGCCCUUUUGUUAGGAAAGAAAAGCAGCAGGUUAAUACCCCGCUGUUCUGACGGUACCCAAAGAAUAAGCACCGGCUAACUUCGUG